ACAGCCCCUUGGCAAGCAUGCAGCCUUUGUUCCUCUGCCUACAUAAGCAAGCUUCUCUUGCGGGGCGGUUGUGGGUGCACACUUCCAUCCAGCCGGUCGCCACUGGACAUGCUCCUAAAGUCCAUUGUGAUUAGUGGCUGUGGUCAGAAGUUAUCCAGCUUGAGGCAGAUUGAAUUUCUCACAAUUCUUCACUCUCCUGUAGAGACUAUGCCAUGUAACAUGCUAGCCUCUGAGUACCGGAAAAAUGAGGAAGAAACCCAGUCUUCAAGAAGCUCUGUCUAGAGAUGCUGUUUCAAAAUUGAUUAGUUCUCCGACCCGCCCACUGAACUCACCCAACCUAUUGAAGAAACAGAAUGGGCUGUGGAUUAUAGGGUUUCAGAUAAUACCAAGUCCCUGGUGAAAGUGUUGAAGCGAGACUGAGCACAGUGGAACUGACCUCAAUGAGCUCUUGGCCCCUCGACAGCAGAGGGAGCAGAGGGAGAGAGUGAUGGAGGCAAUCACUACCCCUCUCUUCUCGGAAGAGGAAAAUAAACACAUUAUAAUCUCUAAGUUAGAGAUGUUUUUGAUAUUCCUGCUCUACACAACUGAUCCUACCAAGGAAGAAGCACUGAGGAAAUGUGACAUGAAUGUCAGCAAAAUGUACCAUACUAACAGUUGCAUCUCAAUUAAGAAAAAAAUAGAUCACCAACAUGAACCUGCGUGCUUCUGGAAGAACAGGGAUGCUCAGGAAGCUGGGAAGAGAAUCCUUCAGAUGGGGAAACGGAAGCCCAAAGAACUGAAAGAACCUGCCCAAGAUCACACAACCGUAAGUGACAAAGCCAAGAUUUGAAGGUAGUUGUCCGGCUCCACUGUCCGUACUCUUAACCACUAUACCAAACUGCCUCUUCAUUCUUUGUUUUGCUUUGAUAUUUUUUGUUUUCAUGUUUUUCUGAUUACAUAAUUAAUCUAGUCUUACUGUAAAACUUAAAACAAGAAAAGUGUGAGGAAGAAAGUACAAGCCCACCUGCAGCCCCACAUCCAGGGAUGAUGAGCAUCAGCACGUUGGUGAUGAUCCUCCUUUCAUCUGUCACAGGCAUUGACUCAUGUUCGUAUGAUUUUACCUGAAUGGAAUAAUAUCCUGUCAUACAUGAUUUAUUUUUUAAAUAAGGACCUCUUUUGCUUUGUUUUACUAACCUCCUCCUUUCCAUUCCCAUGCCCCCAAACACAUUUAACAAACUAGUACAUAUCCUUUUUUUAAGUUUACAUAUAUAAAAUUUUAAAAUAAAUGCUUAUAUAUACACACACAUUUACAAAUAAGUGUAUUUAUAUACAGAUACGGGGCUUUUUUGGGAAGCUAUUUUUUGUUUUACAAAAUGGGAUCAUAUUAUGCACACUGCUCUGCAUCUUGCUUUUCUCAUUGAACAAUAUCUUAGAAGUUUCUGACGUCACCUGGAUUGAUUUACCUCACUAUUUGUAAUGGUCGCACACUAUUUCAUUGUGUGGUUAAUUUUAUAACUCCUCUAACAACAAAAUUCUGCCCAGUUAAUAUUUUCUUUCUACAGAUGUUUUAGCCUGGUUUUCCCUCUAAAGCAAAGUCCGAGACAAGGGCUUGCGUGCAUGCAAUUCAUUAGGGAAGGGAGCCCGGGGUCUGGGACGAGAGACUGGGAAAGCGAAACGCACAAGGCAGGACAGCCAGUGCCAAGGGGCUUCCUUGAGCGGGCGCCUGCUGUGGGCCGCCGGGUGCGCCCUCUCUGAGACGCCUUACUCAGCGAGACUUAGAACUCUUGAGCGUCUGCGGUCGGGCCCCUACGACACGCGGUCAGCAAUUACGCCUCAAGGAAAACGGCCUGUCGUGCUGCGCAUGCGCCGCUGCAGAGCAGCCUGGGUAGACCGGAAGCCAGUGCCGGCAGGCGUACUUCCGGUUCGUUUGUGCUGGGCUGGUCGCCAAAGCAGUGGCUGCAGUGAACGUUGGACUGAGAGGAAAGGAAGCUGCUUCCGAUCCGGAAAGUCGCACGCGCUUUCCUCUGGCUUUCCCUAUCCUGGAGAUCCACGGGUUUCAUGCAAGGGACAAACUCUUACCCUUUGGUCUGACAGCAACAAUGAUAAGAACGUACCCCGUUUUCGGCACCAACUUUGUAUGGGGUGCUCUACACCGCACAUGUGCGUCUUCACAACAGUCACCAGAGGCAGGUGUUUUCCGGAGAGGGCAGGGGAGGCCAGAGGAUUAUGAGGGAGAGGCCGUUUGUACCGUGUUCUCCUGGUAUUCCCAAUGGUUCGUGCAAUGCGUGCUGCUUAAAGGAUGGUCAGUCCAGCCAGACCUUUAAAGGAGUGCUGUUGAAGCCACUUGCGCUAACUCGCACACCCAAUGCCUGGGACAUCUGGCAAUUCAACCCGGGACUUUCUGCCUCCAAAACAUAUGUGUCUUCUAAUAAGCAGGUGGUCUAAAAUUUUUUUUCUCACCUGCAAUCUAAAAGAAUUUUGUAAAACUUCUUGCACAUUUUGAAGUGGAAUAUGUAAAAUCGUUUAUCCUAAUUUGAAAACUUAUUUUUUAAUAGGAAGGAAAUAAUAAACAUUUUAUAAAAUGAAAUAAGAGGAAGAUGGUCUACAUUUAGUCCAUUGAGGUUGUGUUUGUGUUGCGAUGUGAUAAAAUGAGUUUUAACUACUUACUGGAUAGCAUUCACUGACCAUGAAAAAAUUGUAUAAAGUUUUUAUCUGUAGAUUUUAUGCAGUUUAUCUUGGAAAAUCUUGAAAACAGUGCAGUUACAUUGAAAGGAAUCACCAUUGCUACCCUCAACUGCUUCAGUUGUUCUGAAUCUGGAAUAUUCCAAUAAUGGCCAAGCUUCCUCCCUACAGGGAUAUGUUUAGAAUGGGGGAACAUUGAGAAGCUCCAUGGUUUGGGAUGGAAGAGGGGCUACCUGUCUUUUGAGAAGUCGUUGUCUUCUUAGACCUCUGUGCCUCUUUAGAACCUCUCGACUACCUCUUCAUAGAAAUAUCUUCUUUUUCUGACUUUCCAGUUUUUUUUUAAUGGAUGACCCAUGAUAAUGACAAAAAAUUAAGCCAUAUAAAAUUACAAAGAAUACAAAAAGCACCGCAAAUCCCACCACCCAGAUAGAACAUUAUCUUCUCCCUUGCCGUUGACAUGACAUUGCCUUUUCAUGGUUCUUCUCCUCCCUUCCUUGUCUUUUGGCUAACUCCUCUUCUUCCUUCCAAAAUCUAAUUCUUAUAACAAGAGCUAUGGGUUGGAUAUUAUCAAUCUCAUUUUACAGAUGCUGAAACUGAUCUCUCCAUGCCAGCAAAGAUCUCUGAGUUCUAUGAUUUGUGAUUGUCAGGGAAAGUCUGAAAUAAGAGGCUCAUAAAUUUCUUUAACCUUCUAGAGAUGAUAACCUACUUAUGGGAAGUCAAGGGCUAGCACAUCUGUCUGUAGAAUUCUAGGAGGGGAUUCUCUUGAAGGAAGUUUCCUCUCCAGCUUUUAUGUUUGUUUCUUUGGAUAACAAACCAACCAACAACAAAAACGUUAGGGUAGAAAAUAAGCACAUCCAUAGUCAAUUGCUUCACUUCAAAAAUACUUUGGGCCCAUGUAGUUUGAGGAUAAAACCAAACUGACUACUUGUCAGGUCUCUCUUAUUUCUCUCUCCUGGGUUGUUUUUUAUUUAUCUCAAUUCCAUGAAAAUAUAUUAUGGUUUGACAAAUAAACUGUGAAUACUCAAAAAGAUGUAUUAUAUUUCCAAAAUAUACUGUCUUCUCACAGUCAUUUAAGGUAGAGUAUAUGUUGAAACACAUAUAAUUAAAUAUAAGAAUGG